rnacentral:lncRNA from 1 species
AGUUCACUCUAUAUGGCCUCCAGAAAGGGGAAGGAGGAGUUUCAUGGCUAGGAACCUUGGGUACCAACUACUGAGUGGAUCCCAGAAGAAAGAUGCUGGGUGCCUCCAUCUGAAUCCUGCCAACAAAAGAGCAAGAAGCCAGGAUAGGGGCUCUGCAGUGAAAUGCUCUUUGAUGUCUGGCUCUGAGGUUCUGAGGGAGAAAAGCCCCGGACACGUAUCAAUCAGUCUGACAAUGUUGACAGGGCUUUGGGUUCUGUGUGUGUGGCUGUCUUCCCCACUGGGCUGUUCAUUCAAGCCCCAAGCCAGUCCAGUGCCUGGCCCCUAUCUGGCUGUAC